rnacentral:lncRNA from 1 species
UUUUUUUUUCGUUUUGAUUUGUUCCGUAUCAGCUUUGGAGCCCGAUUAAUUUGCACUCACUAAGUUUCUAUGGGGUAAUUUGUGAGUUAGAUUAAAUCGUUACGCAAAUUAAACUAUGCCACAAUCCCUAUUCGUUGGGAUUGACUAUAUGAAUCCUCUGUAUUCAUUCUACUAUAUUUCGAUUCUUCUUCAUUCCAAUACAAAAUUAUCCAAAUAACAACAUAUUAAAGUAAAUAUAUGCAGAUCGAGGAAAAAAUAAAUAGACAAGGCAACAAGGUGCACAAAACAUCUCGCGUUAGCCGAGUCUGGGGAAGGACUAGAAUCGCUCCUAGGAGAUGUGAUGUAGACAGUCUAUCCUAAUUACAAGUAUUAGUGACUAUUCUGACGGCUUAAACCCCUUGCCUAUAAUUCACUCAGAGACAACUUUACUGUUGCUUCGAUGCUCCUUUUCUCACAUAUCGAGAAAAAAAAAAGAUGUUACAGAAAUUGUGUAUCUUACCAUAAAUAUUUGAAACAGAGGGACUUGUAUUAGUAUUAGAAGCAGAACGAGUUGCAGGAAAUAAAGAGGGACUUGUUGAUGCUGCAGCCAUUUUGGAAGCUGUAGGAUGAGAAAGAUAGAAAUUAUUCCAAAUAUAAUAAAAAUAUAAGAAGGAUAACAUAUUGUAAGGUAUAAAUUUGCAACCACACAAAAUACAAACUUUUUUUUUCUUCUUAAAUAAAAAUAUCUCUUAACCCCAAAACAAGACAAAUCACUUCAUUUUCACACUUUAGCAUGAAUCUUCCAACUCCCAAAAAAUCUUCUAUCUUAAAAUCAACUUAUUCAAUUAUCAUCUAAAGACUGAGAUUUAAAUGCUCAGAUAUUUUUCAUUCUAGUAAUCGAGAAAUACGCUAUUAAAAAUCUUCGAAUUAUAGAAAAAAUUCAGAGAGAAGAAUAAGGAGAACAAACACAAUUGCACCCAUACUGGUGAUUUUCCAAGGUCAAAUUUAAAAUUGACAUAAUAUUUCACUUAAGAUAUCUUAAUUAGACGAUGUUCAUUUAGAUAUCUCAUUUAGAGUUUAGGGUUUUGUAGUGUUAUUUUAACACUUUUUUUUAUAUCAGAAAAAAUAUAUAAUAUGUAUUACAUUCGCGAAUAACGUAUCAGCAAAAAUAUAUAAUAUUUUGACACUUUUUUAAUAUCAUAUCAAAUUUUUGAUAUCGUGAUAUUGGUAUUAUUAUAUUUGAUAUGGUAUAUGAUAUACAUUUUAUUUUUUUGGGUAUUUGAUACGAUAUAUGAUAUUUAGAAAUAUAUCAAUAUAUCAAAUAUCAUAUCGAAGCAUAGAGUUACAUAAUUAAUAUAUAUAUAGAGUUGAGUGAUUUUAUUGAUACAAAAUAAAGUCCAAUAACUUUACUAGUUAAAAUCUUAAAAUUGAUUAGUAACCUUUUGAGAUAUUAACUCGUUUGUUCAUGAAUCUAAUGUCAAAUUACAGAAGAAUUGAUUCGAGAGUGAGUACAAUAAGUAUAUAUUUCUUUGGUGCUAAAUUAUUACACACUUAAUAUAUAAUUUUACAAGUAGUGUGCAGAAGAUUUGGCAAUAAUCUUCAAAAUAGUAGAAUUUAACCCAAACUGAAUCAAAUUAUGUGCAAUCUAUACCAUGUCAUCAGGUUGAGCAUAAACCUAUACAAAUAUGCUUAG